rnacentral:rRNA from 1 species
GAGUUUGAUCGUGGCUCAGAGUGAACGCUGGCGGUAGGCCUAACACAUGCAAGUCGAACGGUAACAGGUCUUUCGGGAUGCUGACGAGUGGCGGACGGGUGAGGAAUACAUCGGAAUCUGCUCAGUCGUGGGGGAUAACGCAUGGAAACGUGCGCUAAUACCGCAUACGACCUUCGGGUGAAAGCAGGGGAAUCUCUUGGGAUCCUUGCGCGAUUGAAUGAGCCGAUGUCGGAUUAGCUAGUUGGUAGGGUAAAAGCCUACCAAGGCCACGAUCCGUAGCUGGUCUGAGAGGAUGAUCAGCCACACUGGGACUGAGACACGGCCCAGACUCCUGCGGGAGGCAGCAGUGGGGAAUAUUGGACAAUGGGGGCAACCCUGAUCCAGCCAUACCGCGUGGGUGAAGAAGGCCUUCUGGGUUGUAAAGCCCUUUUGUUGGGGAAGAAAAACAACGGGUUAAUACCCCGUUGGUAUGACGGUACCCAAAGAAUAAGCACCGGCUAACUUCGUGCCAGCAGCCGCGGUAAUACGAAGGGUGCAAGCGUUACUCGGAAUUACUGGGCGUAAAGGGUGCGUAGGUGGUUGCGCCAGUCUGUCGUGAAAGCCCUGGGCUUAACCUGGGAAUGGCGAUGGAAACUGUGCAACUAGAGUGCGACAGAGGGUGGUGGAAUUCCUGGUGUAGCAGUGAAAUGCGUAGAGAUCAGGAGGAACAUUCGUGGCGAAGGCGGCCACCUGGGUCAACACUGACACUGAGGCACGAAAGCGUGGGGAGCAAACAGGAUUAGAUACCCUGGUAGUCCACGCCCUAAACGAUGCGAACUGGAUGUUGGGUCCAACUUGGGAUUCAGUAUCGAAGCUAACGCGUUAAGUUCGCCGCCUGGGGAGUACGGUCGCAAGACUGAAACUCAAAGGAAUUGACGGGGGCCCGCACAAGCGGUGGAGUAUGUGGUUUAAUUCGAUGCAGCGCGCAGAACCUUACCUGGCCUUGACGUGCACGGAACCUUUG